rnacentral:rRNA from 1 species
GUGGGGAAUAUUGGACAAUGGGCGAAAGCCUGAUCCAGCCAUGCCGCGUGUGUGAAGAAGGUCUUCGGAUUGUAAAGCACUUUAAGUUGGGAGGAAGGGCAGUAAGUUAAUACCUUGCUGUUUUGACGUUACCGACAGAAUAAGCACCGGCUAACUUCGUGCCAGCAGCCGCGGUAAUACGAAGGGUGCAAGCGUUAAUCGGAAUUACUGGGCGUAAUGCGCGCGUAGGUGGUUUUGUAAGUUGGAGGUGAAAUCCCCGGGCUCAACCUGGGAACUGCCUCCAAAACUGCAUGACUAGAGUACGGUAGAGGGUAGUGGAAUUUCCUGUGUAGCGGUGAAAUGCGUAGAUAUAGGAAGGAACACCAGUGGCGAAGGCGACUACCUGGACUGAUACUGACACUGAGGUGCGAAAGCGUGGGGAGCAAACAGGAUUAGAAACCCCAGUAGUCC